UGCCAGACUCCUACGGGAGGCAGCAGUGGGGAAUAUUGCACAAUGGGGGAAACCCUGAUGCAGCGACGCCGCGUGGAGGAAGAAGGUCUUCGGAUUGUAAACUCCUGUCCUUGGGGACGAUAAUGACGGUGCCCAAGGAGGAAGCACCGGCUAACUACGUGCCAGCAGCCGCGGUAAAACGUAGGGGGCAAGCGUUAUCCGGAUUUACUGGGUGUAAAGGGGGCGCAGGCGGCGAUGCAAGCCAGGAGUGAAAGCCCGGGGCCCAACCCCGGGACUGCUCUUGGAACUGCGUGGCUGGAGUGCAGGAGGGGCAGGCGGAAUUCCUGGUGUAGCGGUGAAAUGCGUAGAUAUCAGGAGGAACACCGGUGGCGAAGGCGGCCUGCUGGACUGCAACUGACGUUGAGGCCCGAAAGCGUGGGGAGCAAACAGGAUUAGAUACCCUGGUAG
rnacentral:rRNA from 1 species